rnacentral:rRNA from 1 species
UAAGGAAUAUUGGACAAUGGUCGCAAGACUGAUCCAGCCAUGCCGCGUGCAGGAAGACGGCCCUAUGGGUUGUAAACUGCUUUUGUACCAGAGAAAACCUAUCUACGUGUAGAUAGCUGAUAGUAUGGUAAGAAUAAGCAUCAGCUAACUUCGUGCCAGCAGCCGCGGUAAGACGAAGGAUGCAAGCGUUAUCCGGAUUCAUUGGGUUUAAAGGGUGCGUAGGCGGGCUUGUAAGUCAGUGGUGAAAUCUCUCAGCUUAACUGAGAAACUGCCACUGAUACUGCAGGCCUAGAGUAUAGAUGACGUUGGCGGAAUAUGACAUGUAGUGGUUAAAUACUUAGAUAUGUCAUAGAACACCGAUUGCGAAGGCAGCGAACGAAACUAUAACUGACGCUGAGGCACGAAAGUGCGGGGAUCAAACA